rnacentral:rRNA from 1 species
GGGGAAUAUUGGACAAUGGGCGAAAGCCUGAUCCAGCCAUGCUGCGUGUGUGAAGAAGGUCUUCGGAUUGUAAAGCACUUUAAGUUGGGAGGAAGAGCAGUUACCUAAUACGUGAUUGUUUUGACGUUACCGACAGAAUAAGCACCGGCUAACUUUGUGCCAGCAGCCGCGGUAAUACAGAGGGUGCAAGCGUCAAUCGGAAUUACUGGGCGUAAAGCGCGCGUAGGUGGUUAGUUAAGUUGGAUGUGAAAUCCCCGGGCUCAACCUGGGAACUGCAUUCAAAACUGACUGACUAGAGUAUGGUAGAGGGUGGUGGAAUUUCCUGUGUAGCGGUGAUAUGCGUAGAUAUAGGAAGGAACACCAGUGGCGAAGGCGACCACCUGGACUGAUACUGACACUGAGGUGCGAAAGCGUGGGGAGCAAAC